rnacentral:rRNA from 1 species
GAAAUAGAAUGAAAGGAAAAACGAUUUAUGUUCUUUCUUAAAUAUAUAAAAUUUAAAUUAUCCCAAGUAUAAAAACAUACUUACAUAUAAGAAAGACGACAAGACCCUAAAAACUUAAAUUUAAAUUUUCACUGGGGCAGUACAUAAUCAAACUUUAUUACCUUAAUAAUCUACCAAGCUAUACUCCUUCAAAACCAUAUAAAGUUACUUUAGGGAUAACAGCGUAAUUUAUAUUAAUAGAUCUAAUAAAAAUAUAAAAUUGCGACCUCGAUGUUGAAUUAAUAUCACUAUAAUGAGUAUAAACAUUAUUCUAGUAAGUCUGUUCGACUUUUUAAUUAUUACAU